UACGGGGGGGGUAAGCGUUGUUCGGAAUUACUGGGCGUAAAGGGCUCGUAGGCGGCCAACUAAGUCAUACGUGAAAUCCCUCAGCUUAACUGGGGAACUGCGUGUGAUACUGGAUGGCUUGGAUUUGGGAGAGGGAUGCGGAAUUCCAGGUGUAGCGGUGAAAUGCGCAGAUAUCAGGAGGAACACCGGUGGCGAAGGCGGGUCUCUGGGCCGAAACUGACGCUGAGGAGCGAAAGCGUGGGGAGCGAACAGG
rnacentral:rRNA from 1 species